CAUUACUUCAUUGAUAAAUCGGUCAUAAAAGAACAUCAUUAUUUUCAUAUAAGGUCAAACCACAAAGAAGACAAUAAUAUCUUUCGAAGGUCUCUCUAGUAAAUAGACCUAAUAGCAAAAACAUUACACUCCAAAAAAACAUCCAAUCGGAACCUGAAGAAACUUGUUUGUAUAUCCAAGAAUUUCUUUAGAAAAACAUUGAAAGAAAAUGUAUUACAAACGAGCGCUGUCGGGGGUGACUCGUUCCCCACUACCUUACCACCACUCGUCUCUUCCCGAGUGUCAUCGGGUACGUUCGCCGCAUCGAAGAUCACCGCGGUUCGUCAGUCGCGCUUUAGCAGCCUUGUGCGAUGUAUCGCGGAAUUUAUAGGGGUAGGAAAGUUAAUGCUAGUGGUAAUGUGCUCGAUGUGACAAAGGCGACGUGUUGUAAGAUAUGAUACGGCACGUGGUGGUGCAUUGUUUAAUGUUGUUCUAAAAAAGAAAGAAAGAAAAUAAAGAAGCUCUCGUAACUAUCUUGCAUCGUUUAUUCGACCUUCGUUCUUUGUCGUUCAGUGUGGUGCUUCCUGUGCAUUUUAUUUCGAAGAAACGAGAUGACUCGGACGCGUGUAAAAAUUGGAAGAGGUUUACGGCCGAGGUAGCGCCGGCCUCGCGCGAUCGCCAGCCGAAGGGAACAAUUUCUUCGAUGGUUCGUCGACGAUCUUCGACUGAAGAUGAUUAUUCGAAGAAAGAUAUUAGAAAAAAACGACGACGCGAGUAACACCGGCGUGCCUUCUUCCCUUCUUCGAUUACUUCGUGCUGAAACGUCAAUGAUAUUCGUCUGGCGAAUUCUACCCCCUUCGUGAUACAAGAGUAACGCGAUUUACGCAUUAAGACAGAAGAAAACAAAAGGGGACUAACUUCCCUAUAAAAGAAGAGAAUAAUCUUACUGUCUACUCUCUUAUCGAGUCUUCAAGUUGCAAUUUCGUGAAAGGUGUUUCGUGUUUCUCGUGGAACGACAAAGGAUGGACGAGAAAAUCGUCGGUAGAAGGAAUCGUCGUACCGUUCGUUAUGUUCUUGGUGGUGCGCGACGGCGUGCUCGUCGACGAAGUCAUCGACGAAGUCAUCGACGAAGAGGCUCCUCCGAGCUUGAAUUACUCGAGGACAAGCUGUCCUCUUCUUUCUCAUCUUCAGUAUCUCCCUUUAUACUCUUCUUCGUUGGAUCUUCGAGGAAACGCCGAAGGAAGGAAGAAGAAUUAUCCUCGUCGUUAUCCUUCAAGUUCGUCGGCUAUUUAGAAGCCCUUCUAUCAGGAGGGUCCGUGUGAUUGAAUGGAAACCGAAGUGAGUAAAAAAAGGAGACGAUAUGCCUGGCAUCGUGGUAUUCCGACGACGGUGGAGCGUCGGCAGCGACGAUCUCGUUGUACCUGGUGCCUUCCUCUUCAUUUUGCAUCUUAUAUGCCUUAUCAAGUGAAAAUGAUUCGUUACACGAGAGAGAUAUGAGAUGUCAUCGUAUAUAUAGUACGAUAUCAUGUCCCUGCAAACAUUGUUAACGAUCUGUGGGAUCGGGAAAUCUCCGCGUUUUGUACAAUCGGUAAUCCACGUAUGUUCGAAUUCGACGAGGAUAGCUUCGGCGGAUCGUGACAAAGAACGAGAAAUACAAUGAGCGAGUGGCAGGAAAUUGGCGAGCGUCCAUUCCAUUUUCGUAGAGCGAGUAAUCGGCCGUUUCUCGAUAUACGAUAGGUGACGGUACUCGGAGUCCUAUUGGGAAUCCUUCAAUGGGAUCGCAGUGUUAUGUGCAUAUUUCUUCUAUGGGAAUACAUAUUAGGCUAUCUCGUGCUUUUCAUAGUUUCCAUGGUGGUCGAAUUUUCAAUCUGUUUCCUUGCAACGAGAGGCAGCAUUCUAGACACUGCGGUGAGGGCACCGAUGCAAUACAUACUUUAUAUUCGCUUAUUCCUCUUAUUGGUAGAAGCAGGAUGGUUAUGUGCAGGAAUAACUUGGUUAACAAGAUUUUAUCAAACCUGCCCCGUGGACCAAGCCAAGGAUGUGAUGCUGGGUUUGGUGAUAUCGAAUUGGUGUGUGUUGGCGUCGGUGAUGGUGACGGUAUGGUGUACGUACGACGCCGCCGGCAGAUCCUGGGUGAAAAUGAAGAAAUAUCAACGUAGCAUGAGGGAGGCGGAAUCGAGGAGCGGUAGAUUACACUAUAAACGCAGCGGCAGCAGAAACCGAAAUUGGCGACAACGAAAAGUUAUACGUGCCUAUCAAGAUAGCUGGGACAACAGAUGCAGAUUGUUGUUUUGUUGUAUGGGAAAUUCCGAUCGAAGUAGAAACUCUUUCGCUGACAUCGCCAGACUGUUGAGCGACUUUUUCCGUGACCUUGACGUGGUACCAUCAGACGUUGUGGCCGGGCUGGUGCUUCUACGAAAGUUUCAGAAAGUCGAAAGAGAACUGAUAGUAAAGCAAAAGAAAAACGACACGUAUGAGUUCCUCUCAGGCGUACCAGUAACGCCUCGUACUAAGUUUCUCUCCUUGACCGAGGACGGCGAUCUGGGCCAUUUCCAGUUGGCCAUUCAUUAUAUGCACUUCGCUCUCGCUGCCUACGGUUGGCCUAUGUUCCUCAUUAAUCAUUCUACGGGACUCUGCCAGUUGUGCACGAGGUUAAGAUGCGCUUGCUUUCCGUGUGGCAAUCAGGAGGAUGAAGCUACGAUAGUGGAAGAUAACUGUUGUCAAUGCAAUUAUACGGCUCUAAGGCAAAUGGUUAAAGUUGGCGAGGUCGAAGUUGUUUAUGCGACCUUUCAUGUGGACGUCGGGGAAACACCAUUUUUCGUAGCGCUCGAUUACACGAAAAAAAAGGUUGUCAUUAGUAUACGAGGAACGCUCAGUAUGAAAGACGUUUUAACAGAUUUAAAUGCGGAAGGCGAAGUGUUACCAUUAACCCCACCGAAAGACGAUUGGCUAGGUCAUAAGGGUAUGGUUCAAGCCGCAGAAUACAUACGCAAAAAGCUUCAAGAAGAGAACAUUAUCGCGCGAGCACUAUCGAAGGAUCCUUCGAGAGGUACCGAUCAGUUUGGAUUGGCAUUGGUUGGUCAUUCUCUUGGUGCAGGCACCGCAGCGAUACUUGCGAUUUUACUUAGGCAAGAAUAUCCGGAUUUGAUAUGUUUUUCUUUCGCACCACCCGGUGGAUUGCUCAGUAUGCCAGCUCAACAAUAUUCUCAAGAAUUUACGACGUCCGUGGUUGUAGGGAAGGACGUUGUCCCUAGACUAGGAUUACGACAGAUGGAAAGUUUAAGGGCCGACCUUAUCAAUGCGAUAAAAAGGAGCGUCGAUCCGAAGUGGAAAACGAUAGCUUGUUCGGUAAUGUGUUGCGGAUGUGGCUCGACACCAACAUCGGCGGCUAAUAUGGAGGCUGGUGGAUGUAUCAGCGAGUAUCAGAGAGACAAGGAUCUGGCACGAUCUCAAGCGAUCAUACCUAUGGAUUCGAGUAUCGCAUUGACCUUGCAUAGGCCGCUCUAUCCACCUGGUAGAAUUAUUCACGUAGUUCGACAUCAUCCUAAUAAGGGCGAGAAAAAGUAUGAAUCACGGUGGAGGCAGGUGUUGUCUAAACGCGAACCAGUCUAUCAGGCAUUAUGGGCAGGACCAUGUGACUUCGACGAGGUGUUGAUAAGUCCAGUGAUGAUACAGGACCACAUGCCGGAUAGCAUGCUGAAGGCUUUGAAUAAGGUUGUAACAACCCUGGGACCAGCGAAGCCACAGCGUUUGGCAUCUGGACACGCUUCUUCUGCUGAACCAUCGGAAGUCCGAGAAGUUGUGGAGGUCCAGGAGCCAGAGAUCGAGCAAGAAAUGAGGGCUCUUCUCUCACCUUCUACUCCGGUCAAAUGCCAGAGCAAUAAUCUAGCUGGGACACCACCUCACAAGCUUUGCCUCGAGACGAGCUUUACAUCAUUGCAGAGUCCGACGGAAUUCCCGCAAGCUGGUCGAGAACUCAGCGUUGACUCCAGAGGAAUACCAUGGGAAUACGUCAGCUUGGCCAGCGACUUGCUCAACACACCACGACCAGAUGAUAGUAAAUUAUCGAAUCGUCGUGGAGAUUGGGAAGAUGUCUCUCGUACCGCACCCCUUGCCACCCCCGAAACAUUGUCCGAGACAUCAAGUAAUCCACCCUCACCAAUACCACCGCCAAGACCAAUGAGACGCACACCAAAGAUUCCGGGAAACUUGUCAACGGCGGCGGACGACCUCAAAAACAAUCUCCACUUUGCUAUGCUCUCGGCGAAGAAUUACUUUCUGAGGGAGGAGAAUAUUGGAAGUAAUAGCAGUAGUGGUAAUAGCGAAGCAAGCUACGAAAGUGCCAAGAGUUUGACAGCUGAUCUUCCGCCGCCUGUACCAAGAAGAAGGGAUUCGGUUAUCGUUAGAAGAGAACAAAGAGUAUGCACGGCUGCAUGUUGUAGAGAUGAUCUAUCGGAAAAUUCGUCCACUCGUGCGUCCUCUCAUUCCUCCAGAAUUUCACGUACGUCUCAUCAUGUGCAAGUAGAUUUUCCUGAAGGAGAUAACGAGACGAACGGAUCUAGUUUAGAUUUCUUCGAGGCUAAGGGUUCAUCAGGUCAACGUGAUAGCAGUAAUGAUGUGUUUCUUAGCGUUAGAAGUUCUCCAGAAUGUAAAGGCUUAAUGGCACCUGCCACCGAUCUUGGUGCCGAAUGGAAAAGAAGAUUCGAUGUUACUGGUUUAAGUGGUGAUGCAUCCUUGCCUCUUCUUCGUGGUCUUUCGCCUACUCCAACUACCGCACAACACAGUUCUUCGCCGUUCUUUAAUGCUAAGCGAAAGAAAUAUGUUUAUCCUAUUACGUUGAUGGGUCGAGGCGAAAGCAGCGUCUAACAAAACGAAUAAGAAAAAAAAAAGAAGAAGGAUGAUCUACAAUUUUUACGAUAACUUUUCUAGCCUAAUCGAAUAAAGAAAGGUUAGAAGAAUAACAAAAAAGAACUUAUUCAUCUAUUAGUGAUUUUUCAUACUUAACAUGUUUAUAAGAUCAAAAAUAGGAGAAAGGAAUUAGUAUACUAUGAUAUUAAAAAUGAACACACCAUGACACACAAAGUAGAUGACGCAUUAUCAAAGGUUAUAAAGUCUCUCAUGGCAAUGUUUUUAAUAAUAUGAAUUUAAACAUUGUACUUGUGUACAAAGUAGAUGAAACGCGUAUAACGCAUAUAAUUCUAGUCAAUAUGGGAUAUAUUUAGAAAUGUAAUAUUUAUGGACUUAAUCAAAGUCAUAUAUAUAGAAUAUCUGUAGAAAGAUGCUGUGCAAAGUUGAUUUUGAUGUGUAAUGAAAUAUAAUAAUUUAUAAGAAAUAAAAGAAUGAAAAGAGA